rnacentral:rRNA from 1 species
UACAGAGGUCCCAAGCGUUGUUCGGAUUCACUGGGCGUAAAGGGUGCGUAGGCGGUCGGGUAAGUCUGAUGUGAAAGCCCUUGGCUCAACUGAGGAAGUGCAUCUGAAACUGGCGAGCUAGAGUAUGUAAGAGGGUCGCGGAAUUCCCGGUGUAGAGGUGAAAUUCGUAGAUAUCGGGAGGAACACCGGUGGCGAAGGCGGCGACCUGGGACAAUACUGACGCUGAGGUGCGAAAGCGUGGGGAGCAAACAGG